AGCAGUAGCCACGGUAAUACGUAGGUGGCAAGCGUUGUCCGGAAUUAUUGGGCGUAAAGCGCGCGCAGGUGGUUUAAUAAGUCUGAUGUGAAAGCCCACGGCUCAACCGUGGAGGGUCAUUGGAAACUGUUAAACUUGAGUGCAGGAGAGAAAAGUGGAAUUCCUAGUGUAGCGGUGAAAUGCGUGGAGAUUAGGAGGAACACCAGUGGCGAAGGCGGCUUUUUGGCCUGUAACUGACACUGAGGCGCGAAAGCGUGGGGAGCAAACAGGAUUAGAUACCCGCGUAGUCCCUGUCUCUUAUAC
rnacentral:rRNA from 1 species